rnacentral:snRNA from 1 species
GAACCGUGAAAGCGUGGCCUAUCGA